rnacentral:misc_RNA from 1 species
GAUGAAGAACGUAGCGAAAUGCGAUAAGUAAUGUGAAUUGCAGAAUUCAGUGAAUCAUCGAAUCUUUGAACGCACAUUGCGCCCGCCAGUAUUCUGGCGGGCAUGCCUGUUCGAGCGUCAUUACAACCCUCAGGCCCCCGGGCCUGGCGUUGGGGAUCGGCGGAGCCCCCCGUGGGCACACGCCGUCCCCCAAAUGCAGUAGCGGUCCCGCCGCAGCUUCCAUCGCGUAGUAGCUAACACCUCGCGACUGGAGAGCGGCGCGGCCACGCCGUAAAACACCCAACUCUUCUGAAGUUGACCUCGAAUCAGGUAGGAAUACCCGCUGAACUUAAGCAUAUCAAUAAGCGGAGGA